rnacentral:rRNA from 1 species
CCUACGGGUGGCUGCAGUGGGGAAUAUUGGACAAUGGGGGCAACCCUGAUCCAGCCAUGCCGCGUGUGUGAAGAAGGCCCUCGGGUUAUAAAGCACUUUCAGUGAGGAAGAACGCCUGGUGGUUAAUACCCAUCAGGAAAGACAUCACUCACAGAAGAAGCACCGGCUAACUCCGUGCCAGCAGCCGCGGUAAUACGGAGGGUGCGAGCGUUAAUCGGAAUUACUGGGCGUAAAGCGCGCGUAGGUGGCUUGAUAAGCCGGUUGUGAAAGCCCCGGGCUCAACCUGGGAACGGCAUCCGGAACUGUCAAGCUAGAGUGCAGGAGAGGAAGGUAGAAUUCCCGGUGUAGCGGUGAAAUGCGUAGAGAUCGGGAGGAAUACCAGUGGCGAAGGCGGCCUUCUGGACUGACACUGACACUGAGGUGCGAAAGCGUGGGUAGCAAACAGGAUUAGAUACCCCUGUAGUC